UAAAUACUCCCUCCGUCCGAAAAUACUUGUCCUAGAAAUGUACAAAAUGGAUGUAUCUAUAACUAAAAUAAAUCUAGAUACAUCUAUUUCUAGAACAAGUAUUUCCGGACGGAGGAAGUAUCUG
rnacentral:pre_miRNA from 1 species